rfam:Ovis aries breed Texel chromosome 1, whole genome shotgun sequence.
UCCCUGGUGGUCCAGUGGCUAAGAUUCUAUACUCCCAAUGCAGGGAGCCCACGUUCAAUUCCUGGUCAGGGAA